AAUCUUCCGCAAUGGACGCAAGGCUGACGGAGCAACGCCGCGUGAGUGAUGAAGGUUUUCGGUUCGUAAAACUCUGUUGUUAGGGAAGAACAAGUAUCGGAUUCACUGCCGGUACAUUCACGGUACCUGACGUGAACGUCACUGCGAACUCCGUGCCAUCAUCCGCGGUAAUAGGUAGGUGGCAAGCGUUGUCCGGAUUUAUUGGUCGUAAAGCGCGCGCAGGCGGUCUUUUAAGUCUGAUGGGAAAUCUUACAGCUUAACUGUAAGCGGUCAUUGGAAACUGGGAGGCUUGAGUGCAGAAGAGGAGAGUGGAAUUCCAUGUGUAGCGGUGAAAUGCGUAGAGAUAUGGAGGAACACCAGUGGCGAAGGCGACUCUCUGGUCUGUAACUGACGCUGAGGCGCGAAAGCGUGGGGAUCAAACA
rnacentral:rRNA from 1 species